rnacentral:rRNA from 1 species
GACGAACGCUGGCGGCGUGCCUAACACAUGCAAGUGGAGCGACGAACCGGGCUUCGGCCCGGGGCCAAGCCGCGAACGGGUGAGUAACACGUGGGUAACCUGCCCUGAUGAUUGGGACAACCCGAGGAAACUCGGGCUAAUACCGAAUGUGCCCUCCGACCAUAAGGUCUGCGGGGAAAGGAAGCUUCGGCCUCCGCAUCGGGAUGGGCCCGCGGCGCAUUAGCUUGUUGGUGAGGUAACGGCUCACCAAGGCGACGAUGCGUAGCUGGUCUGAGAGGACGAUCAGCCACACUGGGACUGAGACACGGUCCAGACUCCUACGGGAGGCAGCAGUGGGGAAUCUUGCGCAAUGCGCGAAAGCGUGACGCAGCAACGCCG